rnacentral:lncRNA from 1 species
GCAAACAGAACGUGAGCCCCCCAAGGACGGAGCAACUCCUGGACCCCACUGGAUCAACAAGGCUUGUUCUUCUGGAUCUCAGAUGCCAUGGCGCAUUCUUUCAAAGGACGGUUAUAGAAACAAGCAGAUCAUUUCCCCAAAAAGGCCCAUUCCCACGUUUACCGAUGGAAAAGUACAUCACUUAGGAGGUCCUGCUAUGAUCCUGCUAUGUUACCUAAGCUGGUCUCAAGCCAUCCUCCUGCCUCAGCCUCCCGAAGUGCCAAGAUUACAGGCAUGAGCCACUGCACACCCAGCAUGCCAUGUGACAUCUGAGGCUAGAUUAUAAGAAUGUCGUGAGCUUCCACCGGGCUUUCAUGGACAAGAUGCUAACUCUUGGAACUCAGCCACCAUGUUGUGAGGAAGUCCAAGUCAUCCCACAUGGAGAGGCAUGUGAAGGUGCUCUAGCUCACAGCCCAGCUGAGGUCCUGGCUGACAGCCUGCAUCAGCUGCCAGGCAUGAGUGAAGAUGCUUCCAGAUGAUUCUAGCUCCCUCUCAUCAGAUCACUCAACUUGGAUUCUUCCCAGCAGAGGCUCCAGAAAUCAUAGAGCAGAGAUCACCUCUUCCUGCUCUGCUUUGUCCAAGUUAUGGGCUGUAAAAUCUAUGAGCAUGAUAAUAUGAUUGUUUUACACCAGAAAGUUUUGGGGGUGGUUUGUGACAUAGCAACUGGUACAGAAAUUAUUUGCUAACAAGCAGGCAUCUCUCUCAAGGGGGAAAGUCUUAUGGUCAUUUUUGCGCCCUUUACUGGGGCAAAUAUGAUUGGUAGGGACGAUGCCCAUCAUAGCACCAUUGCUUCAUCAGAGGCCGUUUGGAUCAGUGAGCCCUUCCGUGUUCUUUAGUGACAAUAUGUUAAUAUAUUUUACUAGUCCAUUUCCUACUGACUAGAAUAUCAGUUCCCUGUGAUAAGUUUUCCCCCAUUUUGUUUGUUCCUAUAUCCCCAAAACCCAAACUAGUACAGUUGCUCCUCAACUUAUGAUGCGGUUACCUCCCAAUAAACCCACCACAAAGUUGAAAAAUCCUAAGUUGAACCAUCUUAAGUUGAGGACCAUUUGUGCUUGGUAAUUGCUCAAUAAAUAAUUGUCAGAUGAAUGGUUACAAAACAAACA